CCUACGGGGGGCAGCAGUAGGGAAUAUUGCUCAAUGGGGGAAACCCUGACGCAGCAACGCCGCGUGGAGGAUGAAGGUUUUAGGAUUGUAAACUCCUUUUGUUAGAGAAGAUUAUGACGGUAUCUAACGAAUAAGCACCGGCUAAUUCCGUGCCAGCAGCCGCGGUAAUACGGAGGGUGCAAGCGUUACUCGGAAUCACUGGGCGUAAAGAGUGCGUAGGCGGGGUAAUAAGUCAGAUGUGAAAUCCUGUAGCUUAACUACAGAACUGCAUUUGAAACUGUUACUCUGGAGUGUGGGAGAGGUAGGUGGAAGUCUUGGUGUAGGGGUAAAAUGCGUAGAGAUCAAGAGGAAUACUCAUGGCGAAGGCGACCUGCUGGAACAUUACUGACGCUGAUGCACGAAAGCGUGGGGAGCAAACAGGAUUAGAUACCCUUGUAGUC
rnacentral:rRNA from 1 species